UCGUAGUUGGAUACGAAUAGGCCUCCGGGCCACGAACCUCAGCAGGCUGGCGACGGCUCCCCGGGAGAAGGCCCGGGGAGCUGGCUGGCUGAUUGCAAUGUCACCUCGCGCGGGGAUGAAUCCUCUGCAUACGACUGAAGUGACCAAGCGGGUCGUGUAAGCGGUCAAGUAGCCUUGUUGCUACGAGUCGCUGAGCGUCACCCGACCUUGGCUAGAUUU
rnacentral:rRNA from 1 species